rnacentral:lncRNA from 1 species
CUGGCCUCGUCAUUGGGAUCUUAAUUGGCAUAUUGACUACUAGAAAGGGGCACAAAGGAAGUUUCUGGCACAGCCUUGAUGUUUAUCACUCCCAAAUGACUUAUGGAAGCUGAUGCAGCACACAUUUUCAGUACUGGCAUACAGAAGGUACUCAAUAAGCAGAUUGAAAGCAUAAAUAAUGUUAUCAUUCACACUGUGGCAAAGAACUAUAAAACCAUGUUGAAGAAACUGAAUAGAAGACUUUAA